rnacentral:rRNA from 1 species
UGUUUCGGCUAGGGGGUCAUCCCGACUUACCAACCCGAUGCAAACUACGAAUACCGAAGAAUGUUAUCACGGGAGACACACGGCGGGUGCUAACGUCCGUCGUGAAGAGGGAAACAACCCAGACCGCCAGCUAAGGUCCCAAAGUCAUGGUUAAGUGGGAAACGAUGUGGGAAGGCACAGACAGCCAGGAUGUUGGCUUAGAAGCAGCCAUCAUUUAAAGAAAGCGUAAUAGCUCACUGGUCGAGUCGGCCUGCGCGGAAGAUGUAACGGGGCUAAACCAUGCACCGAAGCUGCGGCAGCGACACUAUGUGUUGUUGGGUAGGGGAGCGUUCUGUAAGCCUGCGAAGGUGUGCUGUGAGG